rnacentral:rRNA from 1 species
GACGAACGCUGGCGGCGUGCCUAACACAUGCAAGUCGAACGGGGAUACUUUUGAAGCUUGCGAUAAAGUAUCUUAGUGGCGGACGGGUGAGUAACGCGUGGGUAAUCUGCCCAUAAGUGGGGAACAACAGUUGGAAACGACUGCUAAUACCGCAUAAUCUGCCUUAGGGUAGGAAAGGUGGCCUCUUAACAAUGCUGCCGCUUAUGGAUGAGCCCGCGUCUGAUUAGCCUAGUUGGUGGGGUAAAGGCCUACCAAGGCGACGAUCAGUAGCCGGCCUGAGAGGGUGAACGGCCACACUGGGACUGAGACACGGCCCAGACUCCUACGGGAGGCAGCAGUGGGGAAUAUUGCGCAAUGGGGGAAACCCUGACGCAGCGACGCCGCGUGAGCGAAGAAGGCCUUAGGGUUGUAAAGCUCUGUUUUAGGGGACGAAUGUUCAUAGGAGUAAUAUGCCUGUGAAAUGACGGUACCCUAAGAGGAAGCCCCGGCUAACUACGUGCCAGCAGCCGCGGUAA